GCCUGCUCAAUGCAGCAUGUAAACGAAACACUCAUUCUCAUUCUGACUACCAAUGGCCUUUUUUGUCUGCAAAGGGGACAAAAUUCACACUGUCUCAUGACUGCAGUGCUGAAAAGAGCAAAGUCACAAAACUCUAUAGGAUCCUUUGGUUUCUUAGCUGUGGAUUUUUCUGAAAAAAAAAAAAAAAGAAGAGAACUACGUUCAGCAAGCUUUCUGCAUAAGAUGGCAUUAAGGAUUGAAAUGAACUUUGGAAAAACAUUUAAAGUGGCUUGGCAAGAGAAGAUGUUGAGGCCAAAUGCAAGAAGAGGGUUGUAACCCUGGGGAGACAUAUGUACUGCUGUGCAGAGUCACAUAAGAGAACUGUCUGGCACCACGUGGAAACAGAGGUUUGAUAUAUUUUUUUCCUCAAUACCCAUAUUGUUAGCCGUAGCCCCAACUCAGAGCCCUGCUGGCAAAUGUAGCAAAUACAAAGAGUUUCAGCUACAACAGGGAUUUUGCAGUCUUGCUAAGCUAAGCAAUUUAAAGUUAGUCACUUCAUUUCCAACCACAGAUGAACAAUUGGCUGUUUUGAGGACAGUGUGGGCAGAGGGGCAAAACACUAAUGCCGUAAGGAGACUGAAUUGCUCUACUUCUUUAAAGCUUGCAACACUGUGUUGCACUGAAAGUAGGAGGAAACCAGCUGAGCAAUUCCUUCCAUGGCUGGAGGACUACAGUCACCAGGACUAUCAAGC
rnacentral:lncRNA from 1 species